GAGAUUCUUAUGUGAUAGUGACAACUGCACCCUUGACCUUGCUGAAGGAGGGGAGGCAUGAAGCUAAUCAGAAAAUUUUCUCUAAUAAGCUUUCAUAGAAGAGUUUUCCAAAUAAAAUGAAGAGGGCUAUCAUGGCAUAUCAAGUUUCUCUAAUUUUCAGGAAACAAAGAUACUAAUUUGCUUUACUCUUAGGGAUUCUUAAAAGGCCUCUUUUCUAACUGCAUAUUUAGAAUAUAUAAUCAGAGGACCAACGUUCAAUAUCUUUUUUUGUGCCAUCACUUUAAAAAGUGCAGCCAUGCUCCCCACUUAACUAUCUGGAGUUGAGAAAUGAUCUGGGAGUUGGCCCAGAAAUAGUGUGAACAGCUAGAGCCAAUAUUGACAAAUCCUUAUUCUGCAACCCCACAAGUUUCUCUCCUAGGGCUAGGGGUAAGAAUGCAGCAGUGAACAUGGUUCCUGCACUCAUGAAGCAAAUGUAUCCACUGUGGUACAAAAGAGACUGUAAAAAACAAACCCAAAUGGACAACAGAGUUCUGAACCAUCCUGUGACAAGUCUAGUUACCCUAAAGCUGUCAUGCAGGAGAGACCAUGUGGAGAGAAGGAGAGUUAGAGAGAGGAGGAGCCCCUGCUGUUUGAGUAUUCUCAGCCCAGACACCAGACAUGAGUGAGGAAGCAUUCAGACCCCAACUCCAGUUUAAAAACGCCACCACUCAACAGCCUGUUUUCUGAGCCUAUGACCACAUAUAUGCUGCAGAACCCUUUCAGGGUGUAUCUGAAACUACUUCUCUUAAAGGCAAGCUGUAACUGGUGCCAGUGAGUACUACUAUCUUUUAUUUAAAUUAAAAACAAAUUUAACAUCACUUAGUCUUUAUAAGAAUGAGAAAGUCCAGAUAAGUAUAAAGAAGAAAAUUUAAAAAUCUAAAUGGUCGGGGUGUUUGGGGGAGCAGAAGAGGAAGAUAGAAGAUUGUAUCUCUCUAUCUUCUUGUCUUGGCUUCUGAACCCGAGAUGUUUUUUAUUAUUGCAGGAAAAGACAGAAGCUGAUUGAGGUCCCAGCUUGGUAACAGUUUGAAGAGUUGCAGGACUGGCUGGAUGAGUACUGGCUGCAGCAAAUCAGGCUGCCAGGAUUCUUUAUGGCUGUUUCUGCUUCCACUACAGCUGAGUCAGAAAGGUCGCUGCCCCGUGGUGGCACUAGACGCAGUGGACCUGGCAAGCAAAUGUUUCCGCUAUUAGCUCUCAGCAACAGAGACUCAUUUAUGGUCACCUUGGAAAUCUGGGCUUAUCGAUCUACAGCCCAAGUCUGCUGAGAAGCUGGAGCUUACUAAAGGGGAAACCUGAGAGCUGUUCAAGCCCCAAAUAUUUUCCACUUCUGCGUCACCUCUGCUGUCUGUUAGCAGAGUGGAGGAGAAAAUACACAGCACAAACAACGUGAAAAAAUAGUUACUCUAUUCAUUAAAAGCUGUAACUUCCAGAUUGGACUUGAGAAGCAAUUAAGCAACAGAGGAACCUCAUCUACUAUCUGUAUUCAGGGUAUGAUUUACAUACCGUAACAUUCACCCAUUUUAUGUUUAGAGUUUGAUGAGUUUUAGUAAUUUACACAGUUGUGCACCAUCAGCACACUCUCACCCACGACUUCUGAUCUCUGUAGAAUGAAGUGGAGGGCAGGCCAUCUGUUGUGUUUGCACAUAGAGAUGAAUAAUGAGCAGCAGUACUGUUUUGUCUGUAGCCUUGUCCUACUGAUAUUGGGACUUCAUCCUUCCACAUAUGUAGCACAGUGCCUGGCACAAAGUAGGAGCUCAAUAACUGCUGAAUGAAUGGAUGAACUGACGUCUAUAGUUGGUUCAAGGUGCAGCAGUUUGAGCAUGUUUGCUUUUUUUUUUGUUCUCACAUAAUUUUAUUGAGAUUUACAACUUCUUUUUUUGCCAUUAAAAUUUUAUUUUAUUAUUUAUUUAUUUAUUUAUUUUUUGGGAGGAAGCAGACGGCAAAAGUGGUAAAUGAUGAUAAGGAUGGCCUAAGAGAUUAAGCCCUCAGGGAAGGAGGGAGAGGUAAUAGGGAGAAAUGUGAAAGGGAGGAAAUUAAGCAAUCUUUGCAGGCUCUCCACUCAAAGUUUGGUCCAGUGUAGCAGCAGCAGCAUCACCUGGGGGCCUGUUAGAAAUGCAGUGCUUCAGGACCAACCCCAGACCUACUGAAUCAGA
rnacentral:lncRNA from 1 species